GACGAACGCUGGCGGCGUGCCUAACACAUGCAAGUCGAACGGGGUAGAGAGCUUCGGUUUUCUACUUAGUGGCGAACGGGUGAGUAACGCGUGAGGAACCUGCCUCUCAGUGGGGGACAACAGUUGGAAACGACUGCUAAUACCGCAUAAUAUGUACGGAUCGCAUGGUCUGUACAUCAAAGAUUUAUUGCUGAGAGAUGGCCUCGCGUCUGAUUAGAUAGUUGGUGAGGUAACGGCUCACCAAGUCGACGAUCAGUAGCCGGUCUGAGAGGAUGAACGGCCACAUUGGGACUGAGAUACGGCCCAGACUCCUACGGGAGGCAGCAGUGGGGAAUAUUGGGCAAUGGGGGAAACCCUGACCCAGCAACGCCGCGUGAAGGAAGAA
rnacentral:rRNA from 1 species